rnacentral:rRNA from 1 species
GUGUCAGCAGCCGCGGUAAUACAGAGGUGGCAAGCGUUGUUCGGAAUUACUGGGCGUAAAGGGCGCGUAGGCGGCCUUAUAAGUCUCGUGUGAAAGCCCUCGGCUUAACUGAGGAUCUGCACGGGAUACUGUAGGGCUCGAGUUCGGGAGAGGAAAGCGGAAUUCCGGGUGUAGCGGUGAAAUGCGUAGAUAUCCGGAGGAACACCAGUGGCGAAGGCGGCUUUCUGGACCGACACUGACGCUGAGGCGCGAAAGCUAGGGGAGCAAACGGGAUUAGAUACCCCUGUAGUCC